GCCGCUUGGCAGGGAGUAAACCCGGAGUAAUGGCUGUGCCUUGAGACUUGAUGGAUAUCACAGGAAAAGCCAUCUCCCAGCCUCGGCUCUGCCCUUCUGCUCCCAGUGUAAGUGCAGGUGGCUGGUUCGUGCAGAGGAAGCUGAUGGCCCACACUUGGGAGCAAGCAGAGAACACCACAGUGCUCACAGGAGAGCCCUCAUCCCGCAGCCUGCACGUGGCCCUGUGUGGAACUCGCUGCUGGUGCAGGUGGAGGGCUCACAUCCUGACAGGAGGAAACGUGAAGGUGGAAUGCUGAGAUGGGAUAAAGGGAGGGACUCCAGUUCCCACCUCUGGCAACGCCUGAGUAACCUAAACCCACCCACAGCCCCCACUGAGACAGCUGUACCUGCACUCACAACGCUCUGGAGAUGACUUCACUAGCAAGAGGUAGGGUCAACAUGUAAGAGCCUGCUGAAGCCUCACCAAGCAGAAGAGCCACGUGGCCCUUGUGUGCUCCUUUGUGUG